rnacentral:rRNA from 1 species
GGGUGAGUAACACGUGGGCAAUCUGCCCUUCACUCUGGGACAAGCCCUGGAAACGGGGUCUAAUACCGGAUAAUACUCCUGCCUGCAUGGGCGGGGGUUGAAAGCUCCGGCGGUGAAGGAUGAGCCCGCGGCCUAUCAGCUUGUUGGUGGGGUAAUGGCCCACCAAGGCGACGACGGGUAGCCGGCCUGAGAGGGCGACCGGCCACACUGGGACUGAGACACGGCCCAGACUCCUACGGGAGGCAGCAGUGGGGAAUAUUGCACAAUGGGCGAAAGCCUGAUGCAGCGACGCCGCGUGAGGGAUGACGGCCUUCGGGUUGUAAACCUCUUUCAGCAGGGAAGAAGCGAAAGUGACGGUACCUGCAGAAGAAGCGCCGGCUAACUACGUGCCAGCAGCCGCGGUAAUACGUAGGGCGCAAGCGUUGUCCGGAAUUAUUGGGCGUAAAGAGCUCGUAGGCGGCUUGUCACGUCGGAUGUGAAAGCCCGAGGCUUAACCUCGGGUCUGCAUUCGAUACGGGCUAGCUAGAGUGUGGUAGGGGAGAUC